rnacentral:siRNA from 1 species
GAUCCCUCAUGGUUUGCUCGAAA